GGGGCCUUAGAUCAGUGGUAGAUUAUGUGAUUCCAGCCUUGGAGUUUCCACAGGGUCGUCCGUUCGAUCCGGGCAGGCCUCA
rnacentral:tRNA from 1 species